AUCGAACGCUGGCGGCAUGCCUUACACAUGCAAGUCGAACGGUAACAGGUCUUCGGAUGCUGACGAGUGGCGAACGGGUGAGUAAUACAUCGGAACGUGCCUAGUAGUGGGGGAUAACUACUCGAAAGAGUGGCUAAUACCGCAUGAGAUCUACGGAUGAAAGCAGGGGAUCGCAAGACCUUGUGCUACUAGAGCGGCCGAUGGCAGAUUAGGUAGUUGGUGGGAUAAAAGCUUACCAAGCCGACGAUCUGUAGCUGGUCUGAGAGGACGAUCAGCCACACUGGGACUGAGACACGGGCCAGACUCCUACGGGAGUCAGCAGUGGGGAAUUUUGGACAAUGGGCGCAAGCCUGAUCCAGCAAUGCCGCGUGCAGGAUGAAGGCCUUCGGGUUGUAAACUGCUUUUGUACGGAACGAAAAGCCCCGGGUUAAUACCCUGGGGUCAUGACGGUACCGUAAGAAUAAGCACCGGCUAACUACGUGCCAGCAGCCGCAGUAA
rnacentral:rRNA from 1 species